UACGGGGGGGGCAAGCGUUGUUCGGAAUUACUGGGCGUAAAGGGCGCGUAGGCGGGAUGGCAAGUCGGUCGUGAAAUCCCUCGGCUCAACCGAGGAACGUCGAUCGAUACUGCUGUUCUUGAGGAUUGCAGAGGAGACUGGAAUUCCCGGUGUAGCGGUGAAAUGUGUAGAGAUCGGGAGGAACACCGGUGGCGAAGGCGGGUCUCUGGGCCGAUACUGACGCUGAGGAGCGAAAGCGUGGGGAGCGAACAGG
rnacentral:rRNA from 1 species